rnacentral:rRNA from 1 species
AGAACGAACGCUGGCGGCAUGCCUAAUACAUGCAAGUCGAACGAAUUCUUCGGAGUUAGUGGCGCACGGGUGCGUAACGCGUGGGAAUCUGCCCCUUGGUUCGGAAUAACAGUUGGAAACGACUGCUAAUACCGGAUGAUGACGAAAGUCCAAAGAUUUAUCGCCAAGGGAUGAGCCCGCGUAGGAUUAGCUAGUUGGUGAGGUAAAGGCUCACCAAGGCAACGAUCCUUAGCUGGUCUGAGAGGAUGAUCAGCCACACUGGGACUGAGACACGGUCCAGACUCCUACGGGAGGCAGCAGUGGGGAAUAUUGGACAAUGGGCGAAAGCCUGAUCCAGCCAUGCCGCGUGUGUGAAGAAGGUCUUCGGAUUGUAAAGCAACGUUUAAGUGGGGAA